CUCUCUCUCUGUACAUGAAGGGAUCAUGAGAGCUCACAGCAAGAUGGCGGCUGCCUACAAGCCAGGAAAAGAGGCCUUGGGGUGAAACUUACCUUGCAGUACCUUGAUCUUGAACUUCUUACCCUCCAAAACUGUGAGGAAUACAUUUCUGUUGUCUAAGCCACCUGGUCUAUGGUACUUGGUUAUAGCAGCUCCUGCAGACUGAUACACUCCAGGUGGUGGGAUUCUGGGUAAAUUUUGCUUUUUAAAAAAUACUUUGUUACUUUCUCUCUGUGCUGAAGGAGCAAAAAGUAUUCUUAUAAUAGUAGCUCAACAAUAUAUCCCCAAAAGCAUACAAGAUAAGGAACAUCACAUUUCUCAAACGUCUGCUCCUCAGGGAACUCUCUCUAGAUCUUCCCAGGUACUUGCUUCUUGUUUUGUUUCAUGGGCCUAACUUUUAGAGCUCAUGUCUCACUAUCUUGCAGGGCUUUUGGAGUCCCCUACUCAUACACCUUCUCAUACAUGAGACUACACUGCUUGAAAACCACAAUGGGCUCCAUAAACACUUUUGCAAUAGUGAAGAAGAAGAAAAAAUAAUGCCACACAUGAAUGCUCCUGAGAUGCCUCUGCCUAUUCUGGUGUGAUUGAAUUCUGUCCCCAGCAAAGGGAGGAAUGGGGUGAAUGUUGCUAUGUUUCUCUUUGCCUCCAUGGAAAGAAGUAUUUGGAGUAACCAGCAUCAUGGAGACAACAGCCUUACUCCCCAAGAAACCAGAGUUGGGGGAGAAGAGGGAUCUGCCUUCUCUGUGAAAGGCCCGGAGGCACUGAAAAGGAGCAGUUUCGGAAGAAUGCUGGCCUUGGAAUUAUCUACCCACCUAUCUAUCCAUCUGAUCAUCCAUCCAUCCAUCCAUCCUUUUAUCCAAUCUCCUAUCUGUCCAUCUGUCCAGCUAGCCAACCCUCAUUCACCAAAUAUUUAUUGAGCAUUUGCUAUGCACACUCACUAGGGAUAAAGUGGUAAACAAAAUGGACAUCAGAUCAAUUCAGGCUGGUGUCCUAGCUCAGCCAUUUAACUGUCACCUUGGGAAACUUGCUUGCUGUCUUUGAGCUGCUUUCUUUAUCUGCACAUUAGGGAUUCUAAUCUCUACAGUGAAAAAGGUUACAAUAAAUAUUGUCCAUAUAUGGACAUAACUUAGCACAGUAGCAAGACCACAGUAGGUGCACCACAAACAGUAGUUUUGGCAGUUCUCUAUCUCCCCCAAAGACCCCUGCCUACCACCCUUCUGCUGCAUAGGACAGCAUUUCUGCAUGAUCUUCAUACAAGGCAGCAACAAGGACCUGUGGGACGACGUUUGUCUGGGAGUGGAGAUGAGGCCCAAUGAGAGUCGGUGGCGUGUCUGAGGCUUACCGGUCCUUGAAGAGCAGGAGCUCCUUCCCCAGCAUUGUCACAGCGUCAAAGGAUGAGCUGGAGUCACAGAGGUCAGGGAUGGAUGGCUUGUGAUGGGGGGCAUGGGGCAGAGUGGGCUUCCCCAGGAAUACUUUCCGAGGUCCUAGGAUUCAAAAUGAGUUGGUCAAAAUGGUAACGGGAAUUUGGAGUUCACACACUUCUGCUCUAGAGCCCCAGGGGAGGUUGUACACUUUCACGCUGGACAUGUGAUCAUGAUCAUGGCUGUUGAGGGCAGGUAUGGGUUUGAGUCCCGGCUCUCCUGGUUGCUGAGCUGUGUGAUUUGAGGCACAUUAUUCAACUUUGCAAGCCUCAGCUUCCUCACUUGUUAAAAGGGAGGGAUAAUAAUAGUACUCACCUCAGAAGGCUGUUGUGAGAAUUAAAUAAUUCCUGUAAAGCAGGUAGCAGAGUGCUUGGCACAUAGUAAGUCUUCUAAAGAUUAUUAUUUUAUUAUAGAACUUCUUUGAUAUCUACAAGUGUUCCAAAUUAGAAAUGUAAUUUAAAAAUUGGCAUGGAUUGUUUGUUUGUAAUUAAGUUCUUUUUUUCUCAAUAAGAAAACUUUCUUGUGUGUUUUCCUAUUAUUUUCAUAGACUCCUUGGCAUCCUGCCCUGUGCUUUUGUCUUUUACUAGGCAUCCAGGAAAAACUGAGCGAGUUCUUGUGAAACUGAAGUACACUGAAGGUGUUUGCUAUUUAAAGGUAUCUUCUGGUGGAUCGUCUUGGAAAACAUGGACCCAAAUCUUGCGAGAGCUAUCAGUGAGUCUCCUCUCCUGCUCUGCAUCUCUCAGGACUGUGUCCCAGCUCCAGAAGAAUGAGCCUGCACAGCUUGGACUGUCACCUCUGGCAGGUUCCUGCUCUUUGAUGAAGCCUCGUCAUAAUUACAGGUGUUUGAAAGUUCCUCCAUUGAUCUUCUCUCUCCUGCUGCCUUGUCAAGAAGGUGCCUGCUUCCCCUUUGCCUUGCACCAUGAUUCUAAGUUUCCUGAGGCCUCCCCAGCCAUGUAAAACUAGCCUUAUCUUCAACAGCUGCUAAAAUUGAAGAACAAAAAGAAUCUUUGAAACUUCCCUUCAACUGGUCAUCCUCUUCCCUUUUUCUCUCCUUUAAACACUGUUCCAAUUCAUUAUGAUGGCCCCAAAGCAAAGACAGACAUGGAAGUGAACAUUGGAGUGGAAGGAAUGACGGGGAGCAAAGGUCUGCUUUCUUUCUAUCAUUCUUGUAUCAACUCUAAAUUGAAACCCAAAUCACUGAAAUCUAAAAAAUCACAUGAAAGCAAGUCAAUGACUAAAAGAAAAUGAAAUGAGAGAUCCUAUCAGAGAAAUAUGAAAGGGAAAAUACCACUGAUUAAAUAAGUUAUGGGAAAAAUAAAUCAUUACACCAUUAAAUGUAUACGUCGACAUACUGUAUGUUGUUAUGUGCUUAUUGUCUUUCACCAGUAGAAUGUAAGUCCCAUAAGGGUAAGGACUUUAUAUAUUCUUUUCACAGCAGUGUCUCUAGUGCAUGGAACAGUUCCUAGCACAAAAUAAACAGUUGUUGAAUAAGUGAA
rnacentral:lncRNA from 1 species